ACCUGGCGGUCUUGCGCGGCCGUCCAGGGGUGUUGCGUUCCGGUGCGUGCUUGCCGCCCGAGUUGCUCACCGCCUAAGUCAUUGCUUGAAAGCAGCCCCGAGGAGGGUGAUAGGCCCGUGUGGCGGCGCCUGUAAAAAGGGUGAAGGCGGCUCGGGCGGGCGGACGUCCACCGUAGAGUCGGGUUGCUUAGUACUGCAGCCCUAAGCAGGUGGUAAACUCCAUCUAAGGCUAAAUACUACCACGAGUCCGAUAGAGAACAAGUACCGUGAGGGAAAGCUGAAAAGGACUUUGAAGAGAGAGUUCAAUAGGACGUGAAACCGUUAGAAGCUUAAACGGGUGGAACCGCGAAGGUUGAACGAGGGGAUUCAGCUCGCCGGUGCCCGGAGUGCGGAGGGCGGGUCAGACAUGUUUUGACGACGGGACCCGGCGCGAGAGUGCUGCCGGGCCCCGCCGCCGCCUCCGGGCCUUCGGGCGGGCUUACUUCUCCCUCGGGAGGUCGCCGCGACCCGUUGUCGGGGGCCCCAGGGCCGUGCCGCAUUGGUAGCCCGGGC
rnacentral:rRNA from 1 species